GCAAAGGGGUAUACUGCAGUGGCGUACCGCCAAUAUAGGCAGACCACGCCGUUGCUAUGGGGCCCGCGGCACAAGGGGGCCCGGAGCGCAUGGAAGGCUCCGCCCCCUUUGUCUACUCUGCACAGUUUAUUCACAAAGUUGUUUUCCCUCGGGUCCGGACGUCCUG